CCUACGGGAGGCAGCAGUGAGGAAUAUUGGUCAAUGGCCGGAAGGCUGAACCAGCCAAGCAGCGUGAAGGACGAAGGUGCCAAGCAUUGUAAACUUCUUUUGUCAAGGGACAAAAUCAGGCUCGAGAGCCUGACCUAGGGUACUUGAAGAAAAAGCAUGGGCUAACUCCGUGCCAGCAGCCGCGGUAAUACUGAGGAUGCGAGCGUUAUCCGGAUUUAUUGGGGUUAAAGGGUGCGGAGGCGGGCUGUUAAGUCAGCGGUAAGAUCCCGGGGCUACACCCCGGCGAGCCGUUGAAAAUGGUUUUCUUGAGUGCGCGAGAAGUAGGCGGAAUGCGUGGUGUAGCGGUGAAAUGCAUCGAGAUCACGCAGAACUCCGAUUGCGAAGGCAGCAUACCGGCGCUCAACUGACGCUCAUGCACGAAAGUGUGGGUAUCGAACAGGAUUAGAUACCCUUGUAGUC
rnacentral:rRNA from 1 species